ACGCUCGACACCUACGGGGCAGCAGUGAGGAAUAUUGGUCAAUGGGCGCUAGCCUGAACCAGCCAAGUAGCGUGAAGGAUGAAGGCUCUAUGGGUCGUAAACUUCUUUUAUAUAAGAAUAAAGUGCAGUAUGUAUACUGUUUUGUAUGUAUUAUAUGAAUAAGGAUCGGCUAACUCCGUGCAGCAGCCGCGGUAAUCUGAGCGGGCUGGCAAGGC
rnacentral:rRNA from 1 species